AUACUUACCUGACGUUGAGGCUAACCGUGGUCAAUGGGGCGGUGCCUCCAGGGUGAGGUUCGAUCAUUGCACUACGAUCGAGUUGACCCCUGCCACUACCCCAAACUGGGGUAGAUGGAGCGUGCAAUUUUUGGUAGCUGGGGACUGCGUUCGCGCUCUCCCCUU